rnacentral:rRNA from 1 species
GGGGGGGAAAGCAGAUCUCCUUCGGGAGUGACGCUUGUGGAACGAGCGGCGGACGGGUGAGUAACACGUGGGCAACCUACCUGUAAGACUGGGAUAACUCCGGGAAACCGGGGCUAAUACCGGAUGAAACAAAGCGUCGCAUGACGCAAUGUUAAAAGGCGGCAUAUGCUGUCACUUACAGAUGGGCCCGCGGCGCAUUAGCUAGUUGGUGAGGUAAAGGCUCACCAAGGCAACGAUGCGUAGCCGACCUGAGAGGGUGAUCGGCCACACUGGGACUGAGACACGGCCCAGACUCCUACGGGAGGCAGCAGUAGGGAAUCUUCCGCAAUGGACGAAAGUCUGACGGAGCAACGCCGCGUGAGUGAUGAAGGUUUUCGGAUCGUAAAACUCUGUUGUUAGGGAAGAACAAGUGCCAUUCGAAUAGGUUGGCACCUUGACGGUACCUAACCAGAAAGCCCCGGCUAACUACGUGCCAGCAGCGGCCGGUAAUAA